CCACCCCACCCCGUCGAGGAAGCACAAGGCUUCAUCGCUGUCGGAGCUGGGCUUCGACGCCGGGGGCGCCUCGUCGCCUCGUUUGGCAAGUCUAGCAAGAUCGAGAAACUUAUGGCCGAAUCUGCUGUUUCUACCGUGGUUCGUCGGAUCAGUAAUAUUGCCAUCCAGGAGACUUUGUUGCUAGACUGUUUCUGUUUCUAUUUUACUAGAUAGGCGCUACCUCGUCUAUUGAAACGGUGGCAAGACCAUCUCGUUCUCAUGCUGUCUGCCAGGUUGCCACGCGGAUGCUCUUUGGACUAUGAUAUGGACAUGAA